rnacentral:rRNA from 1 species
UUAGAGUUUGAUCCUGGCUCAGGAUGAACGCUAGCGGCAGGCUUAACACAUGCAAGUCGAGGGGCAGCGAGAUCAGUGCUUGCACUGAUUGUCGGCGACCGGCGCACGGGUGCGUAACGCGUAUGCAACCUACCCAUUACAGGGGGAUAACACUGAGAAAUCGGUACUAAUACCCCAUAACAUCCAGGGAGGCAUCUUCUUGGGUUGAAAACUCCGGUGGUAAUGGAUGGGCAUGCGUUGUAUUAGUUAGUUGGUGGGGUAACGGCUCACCAAGACAACGAUACAUAGGGGGACUGAGAGGUUAACCCCCCACAUUGGUACUGAGACACGGACCAAACUCCUACGGGAGGAAGCAGUGAGGAAUAUUGGUCAAUGGACGCAAGUCUGAACCAGCCAUGCCGCGUGCAGGAAGACGGCUCUAUGAGUUGUAAACUGCUUUUGUACGAGGGUAAACGCAGAUACGCGUAUCUGUCUGAAAGUAUCGUACGAAUAAGGAUCGGCUAACUCCGUGCCAGCAGCCGCGGUAAUACGGAGGAUUCAAGCGUUAUCCGGAUUUAUUGGGUUUAAAGGGUGCGUAGGCGGUCGGAUAAGUUAGAGGUGAAAUCCCGGGGCUCAACUUCGGAAUUGCCUCUGAUACUGUUCGGCUAGAGAGUAGUUGCGGUAGGCGGAAUGUAUGGUGUAGAGGUGAAAUGCUUGGAGAUCAUAACAGGACAACCGAUUGCGAAGGCAAGCUUACCAAGGUACUUCUGACGUUGAGGCACGAAAGCGUGGGGAGCAAACAGGAUUAGAUACCCUGGUAGUCCACGCAGUAAACGAUGAUAACUCGUUGUCGGCGAUACAGUGUCGGUGACUAAGCGAAAGCGAUAAGUUAUCCACCUGGGGAGUACGUUCGCAAGAAUGAAACUCAAAGGAAUGACGGGGGCCCGCACAAGCGGAGGAACAUGUGGUUUAAUUCGAUGAUACGCGAGGAACCUUACCCGGGCUUGAAAGUUAGUGACGGAUCUUGAAAGAGGUCUUCCCUUCGGGGCACGAAACUAGGUGCUGCAUGGUUGUCGUCAGCUCGUGCCGUGAGGUGUCGGGUUAAGUCCCAUAACGAGCGCAACCCCUACCGUUAGUUGCCAGCAGGUCAAGCUGGGCACUCUGACGGGACUGCCGGUGUAAGCCGAGAGGAAGGUGGGGAUGACGUCAAAUCAGCACGGCCCUUACGUCCGGGGCUACACACGUGUUACAAUGGCAGGUACAGAGGGCAGCUACCCAGCGAUGGGAUGCGAAUCUCGAAAGCCUGUCUCAGUUCGGAUUGGAGGCUGAAACCCGCCUCCAUGAAGUUGGAUUCGCUAGUAAUCGCGCAUCAGCCAUGGCGCGGUGAAUACGUUCCCGGGCCUUGCACACACCGCCCGUCA